AAACCUGUCUCAGUAACAUCAAAGGCUACACCGUCAACGUCAAAAGUUGUCCCAUCAACGUCAAAAGUGGCUACCACAACGUCUAAAAGUGCAAAAUCAUCAACAACCACGGCAAGUUCUAUUAAAGCAGCUGCUUCAAGAAAGGCCAAAAGGGCAUCAAGAAAGUAACAUUGGGGUUCAGCAAUGAGUGCUGCAAAUGACCUGACCUUUCAUCAAGAUCAUCCAACCCAUGUGUAGAUUUGACAGUAGUUUUCCUUAUUAUCGAUAAAAUUUCUUUGGUUGUUAUUGGUGCCAAAAAGAAACUUGUAGGCACUUUUUUAAUACAGAUAUAUUUUGGUACCUGACGAUUUAUUGUGCAAUCAAUGAAAUAGUCGUUUAUAUAGUUUGCCUUGUUCAGUGGAAGUUCUCCCUUCCAAAAAUCCAGCAGAUGCUUUCCUUACUGAUCCAAUAUAUUUUCUUUAAUAAAAUUCAUUCAUUAUUUACCUUUUUUAUGAUUUUUCACAUGCACUAUAUAUUCUUUUUUAAAUUGUUAAUAAUUUUUUGUAUACCAAGGAUUGUUCAGAGCUUCGCUUAAUUUACUCAUUUCAAAAAGCUGGGCGUGCAUUUGUUUGAUUUCAGCAGUGUAUCAUUUUUUUUGUAGUUAUGUUUAAUGUGUAUUGUUAUAAUUGGAAAUGCACAUUUGUACUAAUAAAUAAAAGUAUGAUGUAAUAUGAAAAA